rnacentral:rRNA from 1 species
AACGAACGCUGGCGGCGUGCCUAACACAUGCAAGUCGAACGAGAAAGGGGCUUCGGCUCCGAGUAAAGUGGCGCACGGGUGAGUAACUCGCGGGUACUCUGCCUCUAAGAUUGGGAUAACUCGUUGAAAGAUGAGCUAAUACCGUAUAAGACGACAGUUCGCGCGGGAAUAGGGGUGAAAGGUAGCAGCUGCUUGCAAGCUAUAUGUCAGAGAUGGGCCUGCGUACCAUGAGCGAGUUGGUAGGGUAACGGCCUACCAAGGCAAGGAUGGUUAACUGGUCAGAGAGGAGGAGCAGCCACACUGGGUCGGGGACACGGUCCAGAAUCCUGCGGGAGGGAGCAGGGGGGGAUAUUGCGCGAAGGGCGCAGGCUUGACGCAUAGACGCCGGGGGAGAGAUGGAUGCCGUCGUGUCGUAUAACUCAGUCAGGCGGUACGAAUGCACCGCAGUUUAACAUGCUCGGAUAAUGACGGUACCUUCAAAGGAAGCACCGGCUAACUCUGUG